CGCUGGGCAAUCGCAGUGCAAAUUUUCUAACGCUAUAAAAUUUUCUUACUUUCCAGAUUUACCCUUCCACCUUAUCCGCUCCUCGCUCGCACCGCUCGCUCGUUCUCCGUCGCUGCAGCACUCACUCGCUCGCCCCUUCCCUCGUCGCCUCUCCCUCUCCUCUCCGUGACCGGCCACUCCCUUCCCUCGUCGCCGCCUUCCCCCUCUCCUCGUCGCCGCCUUCCCCCUCUCCUCGUCGCCGGCCUCUUCCUCUUCCCGUCGCCGGCCUCUUCCACCGCCCCUUUCUCCCCACCACCCCGCCUUCACUCACACACCCCGUAGGUUUAAAAAAUUGAUUCUUUUUGCGUCGGCGACGAGCUUCUCUGCGACGGAGGCGUGGAUGUGUAGGGGCGCCAAAGCUGGAUAUGGGCUACGGGGGCGUGGAUGUGGAUGUGGAGCGGCGGCGGAGCGGCGCCGGAGCAGUGGAACAGCGGAGCGGCGCGGGAGGCCGAGGCGGGUAGGCGCCACCGGUGGCGGGACAAGCAGCUGGAGCAGGAGGGCGACGCCUACGACCGCUGCAGCGAGGUCUGCGCACUCAGUCUCUGAGUCCCUGCUGCGGCGAGUUCUACGUACGCCAAGACCUUCUACGGUGAGCCCCUUACUUACUCGGUACAGAGGGAGUACAUGUGAUCUGGAUAAUGAAAAUCAUUCUCAUAUAUAGAUUAGGAGGAGAUGGGACUGAUGUAAGAGUGUGUUUGUUUAGACCUGUAUACUUACAAGGAGGUUGAUUUCAGAAUUCAUAUGUUUAUUGUAAGAAGCACAUUCUCAUGUAUAGAUAUAGGAGGAUAUGGGUCGAUUUCGGAAUUUCUUAUGUUUAUUGUAAGAAGCACAUUCUUAGAUUUAUGGUUAGAUUCUCAGUUAUAAAGAAAUUUACAUCUUAUAGUAAAUGAUAUUUGUUCAGUUGAUAACCAGAUUCAAGGAAAAUUAGUACAAGUUUUCUUUUAAUGUACUUUUAUUGAUCCUUUGCUGGUAGUCUGCACCCACUGCCUCAAUACUAUUAGUACAGAUUGAUUGGUUAAUUUAUACAAGGAAUGAAUGUCUUUGCACAGUGCUGAUGUUAUUCGAUUGAUUUGCUACAUGUGGGAGUCAUGCCAUAUUUUUCAUUCAAAAAUGUAUUUAGUAGUUCUAGAAAUUGAGACAAAGGUGAAAAUUGCUGCCUGGUAUGAGAACUAUGCAGCUAUUUAAUUCAAGUUUUUAAUCUCGAUGUCUUGCAAAAUUGCUGAGCGGCUGGCGAAGCGAAGGAAGUUCGCCGUUCCCGGUCCGUGGCACUGCCAACAUCAAUAUUGGAACUGUUCUACAUGAGAUUUAUUUGUAUAUAUCUUCUACUCACAAUUAUGGGCCACUGGUCACUAGCAGUUUGAGGGUAUGUGGAGCGCACUCCUUUGUAUACUUCUUUCCCUGGGAAGUGAAGAUUUAUGUCUUUUAAUGUCA